rnacentral:rRNA from 1 species
CAACAGGGNUUGCUUAGUAACUGCGAAGUGAAGCGGCAAAAGCUCAAAUUUGAAAUCUGACGUUUUUGACGUUCGAAUUGUAAUUUGGAGGGAUAUCUUCGGAGCUGGCGCUGUUCUAAGUUCUUUGGAACCAGACAUCAAAGAGGGUGAGAAUCCCGUGCCUGAACGGCUGUCCCGCUCCAUGUGAAGUGUCUCCGACGAGUCGAGUUGUUUGGGAAUGCAGCUCAAAAUGGGUGGUAAAUUUCAUCUAAAGCUAAAUAUUGGCGAGAGACCGAUAGCGCACAAGUAGAGUGAUCGAAAGAUGAAAAGCACUUUGAAAAGAGAGUUAAACAGUACGUGAAAUUGUUGAAAGGGAAGCGCUUGAGACUAGAUNCGACCGGCGGUCAUCAGCUGCGUUUUUACGUGGUGCACUUGCCGUCGGUUGAACCANCAUCCGUUUCUAUGGCAGGAUAAAAGUUCAGGAAUGUGGCUCCUCCNNUCGANGAGUNUUAUACCUNGAACGCAAUGCUGCCUGUUGGGAACGAGGAACGCGCUUUUGCUAGGAUCUGGCUAAAAAGUCU